UUAAAAAAAAUAAUUUAAAAAGGUAUUUGCAAGUGGCCUGUGUUAGUUUAUCCAUAAUUUCUCAAGCACCUGACAUGAGCCCCUGGGACAAUCACAUGGCUACAAUUGAAGGCAAUGUUUCCAAAGGUUCAUGUGCAAUGAGGAGCUGCCGAAACCCUGGUGAAGGGUGCAAGGAGGCUGGAAGAAGGCAGGAGACACGUGAUCUCUAUGACGAUGAGACAAGAUUUGGAGCUAAGGAUGAUAAUGAGAUUUUUAUUCAAGAACAGUCUUUUGAUUCAAGAUGCAGGGAAAAUUGCCACUCUUGUGAAUCAUGAGCCCCAAAAGCAAAGGCUCAAAAGAAAACAAGUUUGCAACAUCAGCUACCCCAGUAAAAACCAGCCAACACUAACUGUAAAUAUUUUAUUCACCAAAAAUAAGCAGAAAGUAUGCCACAGUUCCUGAAAAGCACAUCUUGCCAGAAGAAAACUUCAUUUCUUACCUCAGUUAAAAAUUGUACUUCGUUAGAGAUUUUUUUUUAAUGAAGACAGUAUGUCAUAACAUUUUUCACCUGACCUUGAAAUGGCAAUAAGCCUUGUUCACUUCAGCGAUCAGGUUUCACUUCACAGGAAAUGGACAACAAAUUUAAUUUUCUCUUUUAUAAACACAUGCAUACACCACACGCUAAUUUAAAUGUGAUCUGCUGCUAUUUGGAUACUACAGGUCUACUUCAGGAUGCAGAACUGCUGCAAGCAAAGCGUGCUCUGCUCACUGAAGGCAAGAGAGCAUGAAUGACAGAGGGUAAAAGAGAUCUCAUCCAGCCACCCAGGUCUAAGAGCUCAUAUCUGAGCCAGUAACUGAGGUUUUCUACCAAUGUCCUAAUUUACAGCCACAGGGAGUCUCAGUCUGCCAGGGAGUGAAUGUAUAUGUCUGCAAAGCCAUACUAAAACCUGCUUCACUGUAAGGAAGACAUAAAUACAUUUCAUUUGCAGUGCUCUUUGCUCAAAGCAAUAUCAAAGGGAGAAGUAGAAUUGCAACGUUUCAGGUAAGCAAUAUUUCUCUUUUUUCAGUUUGGAGGGCUCAAGAUUGCAGCGAAGAACCAAUCAGCAGUGCAAGAAAACUAAACUGGGGAUGAAUCAAAUAUUCUAGAAAAUUUUGUGUAACUUUACUUGAAAUAUACCAGUGAGAGGCAUAAAUGUGGGUAACAGUGGUAUCAUCAAGCAACAGAAAAGAGAGAAAACAUGUAUAUCCCUAGCUUUUGGGGACAUAAAUCUGGAUUUGUUUAAAACAAGCUUCAUGGCCUGUACCUAAUGCAUCUUUGACUGCAAAGCUGCUAUACCAGAGCUAACAUUCAUGUUAAAAAGUAUUAGUGUUUUAACUAAAUUAUGGGGAUGCUAUUCAAAUUUCUUUCUGAAGUGCUCCUAAAUAAUGAAGUAAUACUCAUCUUUCUGACCAGUUAUGAUCAAAUAAUUCCUGCUGUGUCCCAGCUUUAAUGACUGGCUUUGUCAAAGCAGAUUUGUCAUGUUCUACCAGUCAUUGGGAUAAUGAAGAAACAUCGAUACUGGUAACAUGUUAAAUGUUGUUAACUGAAUCACAUGAAAAACUAGUUCUAUACACAGGAUUUCCAAAACUGCAGUAAGGUACUGUUCUGGUUGUUGGUUUGGGGUUUUUGUUUUGUUUUGGGGUUUUUGGGUUUUGUGGGGUUUUUUUUGUUUGUUUUUUUUUUUAAUGUGAUGACUUCAUCUUGGAUAUUCAAUGUAACACUGAUUUAGUUUAAAGACUGUGUUUCUGGGUCAAGAGAGAGGGAUUUGGGCUUGACAGUACCCUGACUAGCACUUUUUGAAGUCACUUAAACAUACUUUCUUGCAUGGAAUUGGUUAGAAUCUCAAGGAGUGGUGUUCACCUGAGAUGCUGAAGGCACACAGUGGCACACCUCUUGCCUCACUUGAGACAUCCAGGUCUGAACUAGUCACUUUGAGCUGCCUUUGUCAUCAAUGGAAAGAAAUAGGCAUCCCAAAAAAGUAAAUAAUUUAUCUUAGAAACCUCACUUAUAGGAAGAUGUAUUAUGUCCUGGAGGAACCUACAUCUCUCCUUCAAUGAUAAAAGGGGGCUUACGUUGACUGGCUCCACUUUAAGCAUCUAACUUUCUCAUAUCUGAAGUCAGAUGAGAUGAUUUUCAUCCUUGGUUACUAUUCUUUCAGGUUAAAAUACUACCAAGAACUACCAAGGUUAUCUCCUGAACUGACUGUGAAGGGAUCCAAAUUGGCUAUGGCAGACUAUUCAGAGACAAGUCUAUCUAGUUCCAGUUCACACAGAAUGGGAAGCAAGAUCAGUGCCUUCAGUCAAUACCUGUGCUUUCCAUCUUCCCACUGCACUUUGAGAAACAGUCUUUAAUAAUAAGUUUUAUGCCACUAUGAAGCUUGAAUUUUUUUUAAAUGCAUUUAUACUAGUUUUAUCCUCUGAUGACUCCCAGAGAAUAAGAUCAUAUUCAGGGACAAGCCAUGAUUGUCAGUUUAUGGGAGUCUCAGGUCCUGAGAUCUGUAUCUGAACCUAACAUCUUUUGGUUUUCAUGAAACCAGAACAGCAUCUCUGGUUUCAUGAGCACAAAACACUGAUUAGCUCGGAUUAAUGAAGAGAAAAUACGGGUAUAGUUCUACUUUCUCAAGUGCUAAGACUAAUUCACAGUUUUGCAAACUCUAAGCCCAAACUCUCUCCAGCUCUCUUUGUGGUUGCUAUUCCUGAAGGUUUGCAGAUAAAGAGUAAUAGUCUUCUUCAACCUAGGGGGUUAAAUAAAAAAGAGUAAAAUUAAUCGUUAUCAAAAUUAAACAUAAAGGAGAGGGAAGGGUGAAAUUAAAUAUUUGAGUGGGGUUAUCUAGGUCAGAGCUGGGUAUGUUACCAAAUCCCCAUUUCCUCCCUCCACUAUGCCUUGUCAAACAUACAACAUUUGCUCCAGCAAAAAAAGAUUUAACUGAAUGCAUUUGUCCUAACAAAUCAAUUAAAAUUAAGCAUCUGAUUUUUGUAAAGCU
ensembl:lncRNA